GACGAACGCUGGCGGCGCGCUUAACACAUGCAAGUCGAGCGAGAACCGUUCCUUCGGGAGCGGGGACAGCGGCGAACGGGUGAGUAACACGUGGGUAAUCUGCCCUCGAUUCUGGGAUAGCCCGGGGAAACCCGGAUUAAUACCGGAUAGCCUCUCGAGCUCUCGGGCUCGUGAGAAAAGGUAGCUUCGGCCUCCGAUCGAGGAUGAGCCCGCGGCGGAUUAGCUUGUUGGUGAGGUAAUGGCUCACCAAGGCUACGAUCUGUAGCUGGUCUGAGAGGACGAUCAGCCACACUGGGACUGAGACACGGCCCAGACUCCUACGGGUGGCUG
rnacentral:rRNA from 1 species